rnacentral:lncRNA from 1 species
GGAGGAGUCAUUAUGUGAGUUUUGAGUGAAUUCCAGCGGCUAAAACUACGCAAUACACCAACCACUCCAUUUCGGAAUGAACUUCGUACGAACUUGAAUUGUCCGGUUUCAUGGACCAAUCGAUAUCGGAUUGAGUUCAAACUUAGGGAACAACAUAAUAUUGUGCGAGGAGUCAUUUGGUGGGUUUUAAGUGAAAUCCAAUCUCUAGAACUACAUAAUACACCAACCAUCCCAUUUAUGAACGAACUUCG